CGACAACACAGCUGAUCAGAACACGCGCGACAACACCGCUCUUCAGUACGCGCGCAACAGCAGACCUCACAUUAAAUCAGGGAUAAGACGAGAGAAGUUGUCCUCUGUUGCUGGUCUAUUUGUAAAAAAAGGGGAGCAGCUCAUCCAGUGCAAUUGUGAGACUGCACAGAGGAUUGCUGUCUGAGGAAUGACCUACGAUAAGGAUUUCUGCAUUGUCUUGGAGGAUGAGCGAGUCAUGGCUAGCUUGGAAAAUCUAGAAUUGCUGAACUGGAUUUAUACAAGUAUUCCCCAAAUUAAAGUCCCCCACAAACAAACUUUUAAGUUUCUAACACAAACUGCAUCAACUGAUUAAUUCAUUGUGCUGCUAAUAUUUUGAGAUAGAGCUUUUAUACUGGUCUUAUAUGUUGUCCAAUUCACAAAUUCUGUCUAAAAGUGAGUUUGUCUAAAAUGUGACUUCCUACAAAAGAAAGUUGACAGAAUUUUUUUUUCCAUGACAUGGAUAAAGAACUUUUUUCAGAGCUUAACAUUGCUGUACCUUUUAAAUAGAUUUGUUUAACAAAUUGUACCAUUUUGUUAUCAG